UCUCCGUUGGUGAACCAGCGGAGGGAUCAUUACAGAGUUGCAAACUCCCAAACCAUUGUGAACGUUAUCUAUCCCGUUGCUUCGGCGGGCGGCCCGGGCCCCGUGCCCGGCGUCCCCCGGCCCCCCGUGGGCGCCCGCCGGAGGUAAACCAAACCCUUGAAUUGUAUGGCCUCUCUGAGUCUUCUGUACUGAAUAAGUCAAAACUUUCAACAACGGAUCUCUUGGUUCUG
rnacentral:misc_RNA from 1 species